rnacentral:snRNA from 1 species
GUAUGUGAGGGCAAUCUGGCUGCAACAUCUGUCACCCCAUUGAUCGCCAGGGUUGAUUCAGCUGAUCUGGCUGCCUAGGCGGGUGUCCCCUUCCUCCCUCACUGCUCCCUGUGCAUCCAUUCUGAAGCUGCACGCUCAGUCAAAGAGGACGGCCUUCCCUGCUAGAGGAGGACCGUUCUUCAGUCAAGGGUAUACGAGUAGUUGUGCUCCCCUGCCAGCACCUCCAAACAAGCUCUCAAAGAUGGUAGCCCAAAGACCAAAUCGCAAAGAAACCAUCCCAACCAUCUAAUGAGAUAAUCCAUUGUGGAGCCUAUCAUUAUUU